UACGGGGGGGGCAAGCGUUGUUCGGAAUUACUGGGCGUAAAGGGCGCGUAGGUGGCCAACUAAGUCAGACGUGAAAUCCCUCGGCUUAACCCGGAAAGGUCAGCCGAUACUGCAGGGCUAGAGUGCAGAAGGGGCAACUGGAAUUCUCGGUGUAGCGGUGAAAUGCGUAGAUAUCGAGAGGAACACCUGCGGCGAAGGCGGGUUGCUGGGCUGACACUGACGCUGACAGCGCGAAAGCUAGGGGAGCGAACGGG
rnacentral:rRNA from 1 species